rnacentral:rRNA from 1 species
AGAACGAACGCUGGCGGCAUGCCUAACACAUGCAAGUCGAACGCUCUUGGUUUCGGCCAAGGGAGUGGCGCACGGGUGAGUAACGCGUGGGAACCUGCCCUGGAGUGGGGGAUAACCGAGGGAAACCUCGGCUAAUACCGCAUACGACCUGAGGGUGAAAGAUUUAUCGCUCUAGGAGGGGCCCGCGUCGGAUUAGCUAGUUGGUGAGGUAACGGCCCACCAAGGCUAUGAUCCGUAGCUGGUCUGAGAGGAUGAUCAGCCACACUGGGACUGAGACACGGCCCAGACUCCUACGGGAGGCAGCAGUGGGGAAUAUUGGACAAUGGGCGCAAGCCUGAUCCAGCAAUGCCGCGUGAGUGAUGAAGGCCUUAGGGUUGUAAAGCUCUUUCACACGCGACGAUGAUGACGGUAGCGUGAGAAGAAGCCCGGCUAACUUCGCGCCAGCAGCCGC